CCCCCUCCCGGUUUUGAGAGUCAUUACUGAGACGGCAUACUAAUUUCCAAGAAGGAUACCUCUCAGGACAGACCAUUUCUGAAUAUUCAACAAAAAAAAAAUCUCUUCUAUAAGGUAUUCUAGCCUUCUCCAAAUCUUCAGAAACUAUUGGAAUAUGGAAAGUAGUACAUAAUUUAUGGAGAACAGCAAACAUCUUCAAAGAAAACAUUUUACCUGCCACAAGACUUUACUUCAAGCAAACUACUUUACAAGAGAAGCAGCUUUAAUUUACCAUACAGAUCAUAUUACACAAUUUUUUGUGGGAGGAAGAUGUGCUUUGCUAAACUUUGCCCAACUUUUCAGCCUCUUAGUUAAAAAGCAAAGUAGGAAGAGCAGUUUUGAACUGAGAAACAAGCAGAGAAAUGAAGAGUAAGGAAUGCUGUUUCUUGUGCUCCCUUCCCUUUCUCUGUCCAGUGAAAGACUCCAGGGAAUUCCCGGGAUUAGCAUUUCACCUCCAGACACUUCAGCCAACAUGAAAAGAGAAAAUUAUAAUUAUCAUAUGUUGCCAUUGCUGACUUCAGAGAGUCUGAUUCAAUUAACACAGUAUACAUAUUUGAAAAAGUUCCAAAGACUUGGAAAGGCCUGGAUAUUAAUGGACACAGAUACAAUCCUUACAACAUUCUACUUCUAAACAUACAGUUUUCAUUUACAACCUUUGUCUAAAUUAAAAUCCUACUGCUCGGUUCUAAUUCUAUAUCUUAAAUCUUUGUCUCCAUCUUGACAACCAAAAGUCUGUAAAUAUUGUUCCCUUGAAAAAUUAGUUCUGGACCUUUGAACGUUAUUGCAUUCUAAUAAAGCUAUUGUACUGUA